rnacentral:rRNA from 1 species
UACGUAGGUGGCAAGCGUUGUCCGGAAUCAUUGGGCGUAAAGGGCGCGUAGGCGGCUUGGCAAGUCGAAGGUGAAAUCCCCCGGCUCAACCGGGGAACUGCCUUCGAAACUGCUCGGCUAGAGUCCGGGAGAGGGUAGUGGAAUUCCCAGUGUAGCGGUGAAAUGCGUAGAUACUGGGAGGAACACCGGUGGCGAAGGCGGCUACCUGGACCGGUACUGACGCUGAGGCGCGAAAGCGUGGGGAGCAAACAGG